ensembl:lncRNA
GCAGUUCGACACAUUUUCAUUUGGUGGCGCUGUGGCUCCUGUGUGGCCGCACUGAUUGAAAGACUGGAAAUGGAGAGAAACGCAAAACUCAAUCCACUGGCAUCAGAUCCGGUGUAUGUCUAGCUGUGCAUCAUGGAAAGAAAUAUGUCAAAACUUGAGGCAUCAGCCAAGUACAGGCAUGAAAAUGACUGGAAACACAAGCAAACAAACAAGCAAAGGACAAAGGACCAAAUUCAGAGAAGCAGGACACUGCUGAACAGCUGAUCUGCCGUUAGCUGCGUAAAUCUCUCUCACGGUGAGCAGCUCCCAGAGCCCAGCUGAAUUAAUCACAGCCACACGGACACACGGGGGGCAGCCUGAGGAGGAGGACCGAGAGGAGGCUAGAGGAGAAACCAUGCUGUGAGAAAAGAGGCAGAGAAGAGUAUAAUUGACUUCUGGGCACUUAACAUACUGUGGACAUUCUCUGAUCCAGCUGAACCUCCAAAAAAGCAG